rnacentral:misc_RNA from 1 species
UGACCACUUAAGCCUGGCUUAGUGUUGGGAAUCUACUUCUGUAGUUCCUUAAAUCUAGUGGCGGAGCCGCAGUGGCCUCUGAGCGUAGUUAAUUUUUUCUCGCUUUGGAAGGUUCUGUAGUUUUUGCCAUAAAACCCCCAAUUUUUUAAGG